GUUAUUGAAAUAUUUCAAUGUGUUUGAUAUGCAAAUUAUGACGUCGCAAGUUGGGUACAGAAUUCUGUACCCGGCUUGUGACGUCUUAAUUUGCAUUUCAAACACAUUGAAAUAUCUCAGAAAC